rnacentral:rRNA from 1 species
GAUCCUGGCUCAGGAUGAACGCUGGCGGCGUGCUUAACACAUGCAAGUCGAGCGAAGCACUUAAGUUUGAUUCUUCGGAUGAAGACUUUUGUGACUGAGCGGCGGACGGGUGAGGUAACGCGUGGGUAACCUGCCCCAUACAGGGGGAUAACAGUUAGAAAUGGCUGCUAAUACCGCAUAAGACCACAGUACUGCAUGGUACAGUGGUAAAAACUCCGGUGGUAUGAGAUGGACCCGCGU